rnacentral:rRNA from 1 species
AACGCGAAGAACCUUACCUACCCUUGACAUGCCAGGAAGUUGGCCGAGAGGUCGAUGUGCCCGAAAGGGAACCUGGACACAGGUGCUGCAUGGCUGUCGUCAGCUCGUGUCGUGAGAUGUUGGGUUAAGUCCCGCAACGAGCGCAACCCUUGUCAUUAGUUGCUACAUUCAGUUGGGCACUCUAAUGAGACUGCCGGUGACAAACCGGAGGAAGGUGGGGAUGACGUCAAGUCCUCAUGGCCCUUAUGGGUAGGGCCUCACACGUCAUACAAUGGCGCAUACAGAGGGUUGCCAACCCGCGAGGGGGAGCCAAUCCCAGAAAGUGCGUCGUAGUCCGGAUCGGAGUCUGCAACUCGACUCCGUGAAGUCGGAAUCGCUAGUAAUCGCGGAUCAGCAUGUCGCGGUGAAUACGUUCCCGGGUCUUGUACACACCG